CAAAAAGUAGCUUACUAAAAGCAUUCGACCUACACUCGGACGACAUUUAAACAUAAUCUUUUUGA
rnacentral:tRNA from 1 species